GACGAACGCUGGCGGCGUGCUUAACACAUGCAAGUCGAGCGGUAAGGCCCUUUCGGGGAUACACGAGCGGCGAACGGGUGAGUAACACGUGGGUGACCUGCCCUCAGCUCUGGGAUAAGCCUGGGAAACCGGGUCUAAUACCGGAUAUGACUCCAUGACGCAUGUUGUGGGGUGGAAAGCCUUGUGCGGCUGAGGAUGGGCCCGCGGCCUAUCAGCUUGUUGGUGGGGUGANGGCCUACCAAGGCGACGACGGGUAGCCGGCCUGAGAGGGCGACCGGCCACACUGGGACUGAGACACGGCCCAGACUCCUACGGGAGGCAGCAGUGGGGAAUCUUGCGCAAUGGGCGAAAGCCUGACGCAGCGACGCCGCGUGAGGGAUGACGGCCUCGGU
rnacentral:rRNA from 1 species